rnacentral:rRNA from 1 species
AUACGGAGGGUGCAAGCGUUACUCGGAAUCACUGGGCGUAAAGCGCGCGCAGGCGGCCAUUUAAGUUGGAUGUGAAAGCCUACGGCUCAACCGUGGAACUGCAUCCAAAACUAUUUGGCUAGAGUGUGGGAGAGGAAGAUGGAAUUAGUUGUGUAGGGGUAAAAUCCGUAGAGAUAACUAGGAAUACCAAAAGCGAAGGCAAUCUUCUGGAACAUUACUGACGCUGAGGCGCGAAAGCGUGGGGAGCAUACAGGAUUAGAAACCCCGGUAGUCC